rnacentral:rRNA from 1 species
CCUACGGGAGGCUGCAGUGAGGAAUAUUGGUCAAUGGCCGGGAGGCUGAACCAGCCAAGUCGCGUGAGGGAAGACGGCCCUACGGGUUGUAAACCUCUUUUGUCAGGGAGCAAGGUGCAGGUCGGGACCUGCUGUGAGAGUACCUGAAGAAACAGCAUCGGCUAACUCCGUGCCAGCAGCCGCGGUAAUACGGAGGAUGCGAGCGUUAUCCGGAUUUAUUGGGUUGAAAGGGUGAGCAGGCGGAGGCACAAGUCAGCGGUGAAAGUCUGGGGCUCAACCAUAGAAUUGCCGUUGAAACUGGGAGGCUUGAGUAUGGUUGAGGCAGGCGGAAUGCGUGGUGUAGCGGUGAAAUGCUUAGAUAUCACGCAGAACCCCGAUUGCGAAGGCAGCCUGCCAAGCCAUGACUGACGCUGAUGCACGAAAGCGUGGGGAUCAAACAGGAUUAGAUACCCCGGUAGUC